UUUUUUUUUUUUUUUUUGUCUUUUUGCCAUUUCUAGGGCUGCUCCUGCGGCAUAUAGAGGUUCCCAGGCUAGGGGUCUAAUCGGAGCUGUAGCUGCCAGCCUACACCAGAGCCAAAGCAACACGGUAUCCGAGCGGCAUCUGCAACCUACACCACUGCUCACGGCAAUGCUGGAUCCUUAAUCUACUGAGCAAGGCCAAGGAUUGAACCUGCAACCUCAUGGUUCCUAGUCGGAUUCGUUAACCACUGAGCCACGCUCACCUGUUGGUUGAAAGAGCUACAAGGUCUCAUUGCCAAGGUCUUGGAUAUAGGCAGUGGUGGGAAACUGGAGCCAUUCUGACAAUCUGUCUACCCAGGUCUUCCUUUAAGAGAGGCUAUGAAGGUCUUCUGAGAUGCUCACUUAGGCAACCAACCAAUUUGCUGCAGAUUGAGCAGAGGUCCUGCAGCCUGCACCUCGCGACUCCACGUUCUGUGGCCGUGCACUUUUGCAGCCAACUUCUCAGGAAAGACUGCAGCACAGUGAACCCAAGGUGGCGUUCCCGGGCUAGUCUCAGAAAAUAGAAAUAAGAUGCGGGGGGCCUCAGGUCUCCAAUAAGAUUACCUCCUGGUCUUCAUAUAAGGGUGUUCGCUUAUCUAGAAUGAGUCGCUAGAGAACCUGUUUGGGCGUCUGACAGCUCAGAGCAGCUGCAGCUGAUGUCCCAGUUUGCUUUGCUCUGGGCAGGGAGAUGUGCUUUAGAGACAGGACUCCACGAGUGUGGUUGUGAAGAGGCAGCAGGGUGAUGAGCAUGGCCACACCCACUUGGAGGCUGGUUGCUGUGAUGGUGGCUGGGACAGGGCCAUGCAGGAUCUCAGGUUCUUGUCUUUUAUUUAUUUAUUUUUUGUCUUUUUAUGGCCAAACCCAUGGCAUAUAGAGGUUCCUAGGUUAGGGGUCAAAUCGGAGCUGUAGCCGCCGGCCUCCACCACAGCUACAGCAACUUGGAAUCCGAGCUGUGUCUGUGACCUACACCACAGCUCAUGGCAACACCGAUCCUUAACCCACUGAGCAAGGCCGAGGAUCGAACCUGCAACCUCAUGGUUCUUAGUCGGAGUCGUUAACCACUGAGCCACGACGGGAACUCCGGGAUCUCAGGUUCGAAAAGAAAAGUGCAAAGGAUGCCCGCCUGCCUUCACCCUCACCCCAGUCUCAUUAACUGCUUUCCAUCCAAGUGCUCGGCACCUGCGAGACGCUUCCCCUUGUCUGACUUCCUGCCCAGCGAGGAGCUCCCUAAGGGCAGGGGCUGCCAUUAUGUUCAUCUUUGGACCUUACCGUGCAUCGCAGAGUAGAUGCUGAAUAAAUGAAAGAGAACGACUCCAAGUAAUGGUCUCCCAGAGGCAUUAGGACGGUGGGAAGGCCAGAAAAUGAGCAGUGGCUCAAGAGGAAGUCGGGUCUCCGUUGGCAGGACGUUCUGGUCAAGCAGGACUCACCUGCUCCCAAGUCUCCAUAAAGCCACCUGGCCAUGUGCUCCGGACAGCGUGCCUCCCACCUGAAGGCUUGCGAAAGGCCCAGCCCUCCGGGGCCUCCCCGAGGGGAAGCCACGUGCGGAAGCGGACAGACGGCUCCGAUUUCCCUGUGUCUCUUCCAGGCUCCCCUCAGCCACAAGGUCUUGUCCUCUCCCUUCGAGGAGGUGCAGGUCAGCUGCGGGAACUGGGAUCACAGCUCACCCCCCCACCUUGGACCCCGUCAGGAAGGCUGGGCCCCUUUGGAAAUGACCUUCUUCCCCCCACCCCCUCUCUGCCUCUGAACCCGUCACAUCCUAUUUGCAGCCCUGGCGGUUAAGGAUGGAAAUUUGACUUUUUAAUUUUAUUAUUCUUGUUCUUCCUUCCUGCUUCAUUAGAAUCAUGUCGUUGGCCUCAAAUACUGGAUGUAAACCACGCUCGGAGGCCCAUCUGGAAGCCUGGAUCCUCUGGGGAUAUAAUUAUGCUAAGCGACACUUAGCAGGGAGAGUGCGAUUUUGUUUACCUGGGUGUCUCCGCUGGCAGCACAUCCCUCGGUUCUCCCCGAGGAGGAGGACUGGCUGCUGCCGUCCCUUUAGGCUUCUCCUUCUUGGGUUGUGUGCAGAUGGCCCACUUUCAUGUUGCCUGAGCUGUUGUGAUAAUUUAUCGCAUCUUUGUGUGGCUGUGGCGGGGAGGCUACGCAUGCCUUUGGAAUAGUAAAAGGUUACCCGUGACCAAAGAGAAAAAGCAGCCAGCUUGACCCACUUUUUUUUUUCUUUUUGUCUUUUUAGGGCUGCCCUCACUGCAUACGGAAGUUCCCAGGCUAGGGGUCGAAUCAGAGCUGCAGCUGCCAACCUCCACCAUAGCCACAGUGACACUGGACCCAAGCCACAUCUGUGACCUACACUGCAGUUCUAGGCAACGCCAGAUCCAUAACCUACUGAGCGGGCCUAGGGAUUGAACCUGCAUCCUCAUGGAUACUAGCUGGGUUCUUAACCCACUGAGCCACAGUGGGAACUCUAGCUUGGCCCAUGACCCACGUUUGCUUUCACAAUGGGACCGGGGAAGGAGCCACGCCUGGGGCGAGGGCUUUGGGCUCUUGGUUCCGCAGGGCUCCUAGCAUCAUGCCAGGACUCUGACUGCACUCAGGCUGUGGCCCAUUCUGCUUAAAGCGUCUUAAUUCUGGGGAGCCUCGCUUUUCUCUUCUGUGGAAGGAAACCAAGAGCCCUCGCCCUGCUUAGCUCCCAAAUGCUUGGGAGAAAUCACUGAGUGAGUGAAGGUGAAAGCAUUUUGUGUUCAUUCAAACCCUUGCCGGAGGCCCCCUCCGUGCAUGGAUUAACAGGGUUCUUAUUCUUGCGGGGACUGCGACCUCGCAAACCGUAAAUUAUGAAGCACUCAACAAAUGCAAGGCAGUAAAGUGUGUAUGUUUGAAUUUGCUUGGCAUCUGCUGGAUUGGGAAAAUUCUCGCCAAGCGGAGAAUGCCCAGGUAUACCCUCCUGGCUGUACAGCCUCCAACUCCCCUUAUCCGUGUUCCCGAUCGUGUUACUGCUCCCCCGCCCCCCUCCCCAAAUCCUGCACCCUCCCACCCUGAUCCCCAGUCCCCCUCACCUUCUGUGCUCUCCUCUGCAUCCUCCCUUCAGCCCCGUCAACACUGCCUUUAUCACAUAGCAUUAUAAUAACCUUCUGAAAAACAGUAUUAUUUAUUACAGCAAAGCACACAUACAGAAAAAAAAAUAGAGAAACCGUAGGUCUGUAGCUUCAUGCAUUUUCACAAGAGGAGGUAGACACAUGAACCACCCAGAUCAAGGAAUCCAGUGGCACCAGCAUCUCAGGAGCCCCCACCCACCCACCGCUGCCAUCCAUUUCCUCCCUUCUCCCAAAAAGUCACCCCUCUCCUAAUUUCUACCACCACGGAGUUCUUUUUAGAUUUCUUUAAGCUUUUUCUAUCUGGAAUUGUCUGCUCUGCAGCUCUGUGUUCUUUUGUGUUUGACCCUGGUUGCUCAUCCUUGUUUGUGAGAAGGGUCCCUGUUGCUGCACAUAACUGCACUUCGUUGGCAUUCCCAUAUAGUGUUCUGUUACCUGGAUGUGUCGGCAUGAAUUUGAUCUCGUGUUGCUGGGCACUUAUACUGUUUCCAGUUUGAGGCUCUUAUGCUUAAAGCUGCUGUAAACAUUCUGGUCCAUAUC
rnacentral:lncRNA from 1 species